AAACAUCAGAAAGCACGUUCAUGUUAAUUAAUCAUAAUGAAUCUUAUUACUGUAUAGAAUAUUAUAGCAUACUUAUGUCAUUUACAUGUUUGGGUGAGAGGGUGGAGGUGGGGGUUUUACUUUGUUACUGUGUUUGUUUUGGAAGCUGAUUUUUUCUGUAUGUUUGCUACUGAAUGCUUGAAUUUCCUCUAGGAUCAAUAAAGUGUCUGUCUGUCUGUCUGUCUGUCUGUCUGUCUGUCUGUCUGUUUGUUUGUUUGUUUGUUUGACCUCAUAUGAAUCCAUUUCUCUAAUUUCUAAUCCUUUAUUAAUAAAGAUUUCAUGACGUUCACAUAAUGAAUAAUAAUAUAAUUUGCAUUAUGUCAUUAAAUGUAACUCAGUAUUAACACCUUUUAAAUUCAAUUCUUUACUAUUUUACGAAACCCACCACCUCGUGUCUGUUCACAGGUUGAUAAAUUCAUUUCUAAAGAAUAUUAUUGCCACCCCAAAGAGAGGGAGAGAAGAAAGAAAUGUUUAUAGUACUUCAAAGGCUCAAAAAGUGCUGAUGUGGCACUGGGCAAAUAAAAAUUAGACUUACCAGCCAGCAGAGAAGCUCUAAGAACACCAACUGUAGAGAGAAAUAAAGAGGAUGAAGCUCAUGAAGCCAGUGAUGGAGCUGUCUCCAGAGUUAUUAGAACACGGAUGUUUUAGGUGGCAGAUCUUCCACCUUCACAAAAUUCUGAGAUCAGCAGUUUCUGAAAUCCUCAGAUCAGCCCAUCUGGCACCGACAAACACACCAUGCUUAAAGUCUCUCAGAUCACAAUUUUAACUUUUCUGAUAUUUUAUGUGAACAAUAAUCUGAAGCUUUUCACCUGUAACUGAUUGAUUUUAUCUACUGUGCUGCUGCCACCUGAUUGGCUGAUUGGAUAACUGUAUAAUCGUGUUCCUGAUUCCUGAUAAAGUAGAUGGUAAGUGUAUAAAAAGAGUACAUACUCUAUAAUUGUAUUUAUACCACAGAGCUACUGUAUACUGGAUUCUGAUUGGUCAGAUGGUGCUGAUUAAUUUUAUAUUACCAACUCUGACAGUAGAGAGGCAGCAAUUAAUAGCUUUAUAUUAACAAUCUUUUUUUUUUUUUUACUAUAUUACUCUUUUUAUAGUAACAGACCGAUGGAAAUGUCUUACGCUUAUAUGAAAGAAUAAA